AACGAACGCUGGCGGCAUGCCUAACACAUGCAAGUCGAACGAGACCUUCGGGUCUAGUGGCGCACGGGUGCGUAACGCGUGGGAACCUGCCCUUAGGUUCGGAAUAACUCCCCGAAAGGGGUGCUAAUACCGGAUAAUGUCUUCGGACCAAAGAUUUAUCGCCUUUGGAUGGGCCCGCGUUGGAUUAGCUAGUUGGUAGGGUAAAAGCCUACCAAGGCGACGUUCCAUAGCUGGUCGGAGAGGAUGAUCAGCCAGACUGGGAAUGAGACACGGCCCAGACUCCUACGGGAGGGAGCAGUGGGGAAUAUUGGACAAUGGGCGAAAGCCUGAUACAGCAAUGCCGCGUGAGUGAUGAAGGCGUUAGGGUUGUAAAGCUCUUUUACCCGGGAUGAUAAUGACAGUACCGGGAGAAUAAGCUCCGGCUAACUACGUG
rnacentral:rRNA from 1 species